AUGUCUGAACUCAGGCGCAUUCAAAUGUUAGUGUUUCUGAUCCUGAUGCUUCAGUUCACAGUCACUGAACAACUUUCCUCCUUCGUCGCUGUCAGAGCUGGAGACGACGUCACUUUGACUUGUGAACAUGUGAAAGAUGAACAGGAUGAAUGUCAGAACAUAGAAUGGAUCUACAAUGAUGCAGCUCACACCAGAACUGAUGGACUGGUUAGAAAUGGACAGAUUGAGGCAUCCAGAUCAAACAGACUGAGACUUGGAGAGAAAUGUUCUCUGGUCAUAAAGAACGUCACAGAUCAGGAUGUUGGUCGUUACGUCUGCAGACAAGUGGAAUUCUCUCAGGUUUUUCUUUUUGUUGUUACCAGUGAGUAUCAUUGUGUCUUCAACUCAACCUGUUUUGUUAUAACAUUGAUUAAAACAAUUAGAAUUGCAGUGUGAAGUUAAUUUUAAUCUAGUUUGUUUUAACAUUAUUUCUUUACCAGUGAUUGGAAAGGAGAUUGAGCAUGCGACCAGCUUCUACUGUUACGUGUCAACACAUAAAGACUGUGAACCAUCAGUGAAGUUCCUACAUGAUGAUAAAGUCGUUUUAGGUCACAGAGACCUGAAGGCAUCACAGACUCACUACUACGCUGUCGUGUCCUUUGAGGAGUUUAACUCACCAAUGCUGAACUCAUUAAUUUGUGAAGUGACUGAUUGUUACAGUAACGUUCAUAAGUUUCCUCUCAGAUCUCAGGCCUCAGGUGAGAAGAUCAAAUGUUUGUUUCCACGUGAUGUCAGUGUUUCACAUCCAGCUACAAUAAUAUGACUUUUACAGAUGAAGACACAAAACCAGCAAUGACUGAAUCAACAACUGUUGAAAACUUAGUUACAGCAUUGAUCACUGAAGCUUCAGCAGAAAAACAAGGUGAAGUUUCAUUUAAAUUCAUUGUGUAUUAUUUCUUUCUCAUAGUUGAAGGUGGAGGAAGUAAAACAUGUGGUGAGUGUUUUCCAGGUUGGUGGAGGAUCAUCAUCGUCUCUGUGGGUUUAACAACACUCAUAAUCACUGUUGUUACAGUCGACAUAUGGAUCAGAACCAAAGGUGAGAACAUUCAGUGAUGACGUUUGAUGAGGAGACCUUUAAAUGUUGAGUCUUCACUGGU
rnacentral:lncRNA from 1 species